UACGUAGGGUCCGAGCGUUGUCCGGAAUUACUGGGCGUAAAGGGCGCGUAGGCGGCCUGUUAAGUCGAACGUGAAAUCCCUGGGCUCAACCCAGGAACUGCGUCCGAUACUGGCAGGCUUGAAUUCGGGAGAGGGAUGUGGAAUUCCCGGUGUAGCGGUGAAAUGCGCAGAUAUCGGGAAGAACACCUAUGGCGAAGGCAGCUCUCUGGGACGGUACUGACGCUGAGACGCGAAAGCGUGGGGAGCGAACAGG
rnacentral:rRNA from 1 species